rnacentral:sRNA from 12 species
UGUGUCAGCUAUCAGGCAAUCUGCAGAACCAUACUGCUAAAGUGACACAACUCCUAAAGAAGCACUGGGCGCUAUCCAUUGCGGCGAAAGCCUGCAAGGAUUAUAGGGUAAACAAAUUUGGCAAUUAGCUGGCAGGAAUAGCGCUCCUGACAGCUUAUU